UCCCUUCGGGGUGAAGAUGAAAUGGAUUAGCGGCGGACGGGUGAGUAACACGUGAGUAACCUGCCUUUGACAUUGGGAUAGCCUCGGGAAACUGGGAUUAAUACCAAAUGACACUAMCUGAUCACAUGAUCAAUUAGUCAAAGAAAUUCGGUCAAAGAUGGACUCGCGGCUGAUUAGCUAGUUGGUGAGGUAACGGCCCACCAAGGCGACGAUCAGUAGCCGGCCUGAGAGGGUGAUCGGCCACAUUGGAACUGAGACACGGUCCAAACUCCUACGGGAGGCAGCAGUGGGGAAUAUUGCACAAUGGGGGAAACCCUGAUGCAGCGACGCCGCGUGAGCGAAGAAGGCCUUCGGGUCGUAAAGCUCUUUUAUGAGGGAAG
rnacentral:rRNA from 1 species